CAGGAUUCUCAGUUAAAUUUGAAUUUUGGAUAAACAAUGAAUAUUUUCUUAGUAUAACUUUCCCCACACAAUAUUUGGGACAUACUUAUACUAAAAUUUAUUCAUUGUUUAUUUGAAAUUUAAAUUUAACUGAGAAUCAUAU
rnacentral:miRNA from 1 species